rnacentral:rRNA from 1 species
ACUCCUACGGGAGGCAGCAGUAGGGAAUUUUCCGCAAUGGACGAAAGUCUGACGGAGCAAUGCCGCGUGAGUGAUGAAGGUUUUCGAAUACGUAAAGCUCUGUUGUAAGGGAAGAAUAGCAAGAUAGGAAAUGAUUCUUGUCUUGACGGUACCUUACCAGAAAGCCACGGCUAACUACGUGCCAGCAGCCGCGGUAAUACGUAGGUGGCAAGCGUUAUCCGGAAUUAUUGGGCGUAAAGCGCAUGUAGGCGGCUUUUUAAGUCUGAUGUGAAAGCCAGU